GGCUGGGUAGCUUAGUUGGUAAAGCACUUGUCUAGCGAAUAAGGGUCGUGAGUUCAAAUCUCACCUGAGCUG
rnacentral:tRNA from 1 species